GGAAUUGGGCGGGUCCCGUCGGGUUCAAGCGAAAUUGGCAGGCCUACUUACAUCUGUAAGCAACUAAUCGUAGGCUAACAAAAAUAACUAAAUAAGUAUAAUGAAAAUCAACUGCUGAAGUGUUUUUUAUCUGAUUGGUACACCGAAAAUAAAGCUUUCUAGCUUCACCCAUAAAUAAAACUCAAGGUUUUCGUUAGGAUCUUUAAUAAUCCAAGAUCAAAGCAUUCGUGCCUUCUCGACACUAUUACAUCACUUUAUGUACAGAUAGUUUACUUGAGCAAAUGCUAUCUUACCCUCCUUGUCCUAACUAACUUCAAUGAUUCCAUCACAUAGUCACAUGGAUGCUACCUUCUAGAUAAUUAUUACUACUACUAAUUACUAUACACAUUUCUCCUUCAACGUUAUCCAUUCAUGGAUGUUAAUUCAAAACUGGGAAGUAAUUGUUAAUCCCUCGCAAGUUGUUGAUUUUGAUGAUGACAAAGAAAUGUGCAGUUUUUGUUAGCAGCACAAGUGAAUUGAUUGAAUUUCCUUGAGAAAGCCAAGGACUAAGCUGGACUUAAAAGACUUCAAGAUUCAGAUAUCAAGACAUGUUCAAGAAUCUAGGAUAUUAUGCAAGGAAUUAACAUUUCUAUUAGCAUGAUAUACAUUGUUGAGCCCUCCAUCUAAUAGCUUAAGCUUUUAGAUGAGUUGGUUACUUAACAUGGUAUCAGAGUUUUGGGUGUGCAAAGUCUUGGGUUCAAAUUUUUCCGCUUGCACAAUUGUCUUUAUAAAAAUUUAAUAGUGCAAAUACAUUUUAGUUUCUCCCUUCUCUAUUGCACAAUUGUCUUUAUAUUAAUUAAAUAGUGCAAAUACAUUUUAAUUUCUCCUUUCUCUAUAAAAAUUUGCAUUUGAGGGGGAGUGUUAGCAUGAUAUAUAUUAUUGAGCCCUCCAUAUAAUAGCUUAAACUUUUAGAUGAGUUGGUUACUUAACAAUUUCAAUAUAGUCAAGGCUUAUGUUUAAACUAUUAAUACUGAACUGAAAAUUUCUAUUCAGUGUCCGUUGGAUUCUAUUUGGGUAAAUGAUGUAAAAACUAAUUAACUCUUCCAUUUUUUCUGUUUUUAACAAUCAAUUACUCCCUCCGUUUCAAAAUAAAAGUCAUGAUUACUAUUUGUCCCAGGUUAAAUGUCUACUUACCUUAAAUAAUCUAUUUUUUACAAUAAUUUGCCUAUAAUACCCUUAGUAUUAAUUGUCAUAUUUCUAUUCUCUAUGAAUUGUGUACAAAACUAUGCAACUAAAUGAGAAUUUAAAUAUGAACAAUUUUGUCAUUUUAUCUUUUUUCUUAAUAUGCGCAAAAAGUCAUCCAGGACUUUAUCAUGGGACGGAGGGAGUAUUUUUUUUUCCAUUUUAAACUCUAAAACAGAGAAUUUGUUUUUCCUAAAAAAGUUAACAACCGUUUGUUGAGAAUUUCCUUAUUUAGCAUUUUUAUUUAAUUUUUAUUCAUACAAAAUUAUGAAAUGAAAAAUCUUAUGUGACAACUGGGUGAGUUAACUUGUUGAGCUAACUCUUUCAUCCUUAAACCUAAAAAAACUGACUUCUUGUGCAUCUCCAAGAACUUGUCUAAAACAUGAACUCAUUGUUCACAGAUCUACAUCAUAACUAUUACCAUCAUAAUCCCUAGCAUAACCUUCAUCGUUGCUCACCAUCACACAUCACACCUUCACCUUCAUAUAAUCAUUACAUACCCAUCACCACCAUCACUACAGCCCCAAACAGUCAAAUUACCACCAUCAAUCUUCCACUAUCGCCGCCAACUAACAUUGCAAAGUUACCAAACCAAGAAAUGCAACAAACUCAUAAAAUAAACACCAAAAAUAUCCCCAAAUUUGCUGAGUUAUAAAAAUUGAAUCAACAAGAACCCAAAAAAUUCACCCAUUCAAUCUGUUUUGGAAAUUGAAUUGAUGAGAACCCAGAAAUUGACCCUAGUUUCCUUUGUCUAUGAUUCCUUCUCUCUCAAUUCCUGAUCUUUUUUUGUCAUCAACUUGGCAAAGAUGAUGCUCGUCGGUGGCAGCUUUGGAUUUGUCUCAGAUGGUUCAGUGCUUGUGGUCUCUAUGAUGCUUGGUUGAAUCCCUUUUCCGAUCAAAGUCUCUAUGUCCCCCUAGAUUUCUGGUCUCCAAUGGCCAAUCCAUAUUAAAGUUCUUGCAAUUUAGGGUAUCUUUAGCCUAGAAGAUGAUGAACAUAUGGAUCUGGGUCUAUGAACAUAAUUGUGGGACAUGAAUUUUGGGCCAGUAGAAAUAAAUUAAAAGAAGCCAUGAAAGAUAUUAGAAACAAAUAAAAAUGCCACAUAAUAAUUUUUAACAAUCAACCAUGGUCAACUCAAAGUUGUUAACGUUUACAAAAAAAAUGAAAUCCUUCACAUGAAUUUAGAAUUUAAAAUAGAAAAAAAUUAGUUGGUUGGUAAAAAAAAGGAAAAAUGUAAUAGUUGGUUUGUUCUUAACAUCAUUUACCCAUUUUGUUUAUAAGCUGAAUGGCUUCAAAACAGUAGACUGAAUUAGUCUGGACGGUCUCAAACUCUUUUCUAAAAAAUCUGGAAUUUUAUAACAAUAAUUUAAUAGAUGUCAUAAUUAAAAGAGGUUUGUUAUGGAUCAAAUCUAUAUCCCUACCUUUGUCCAAAUCUUAAGCAGAAGAUUUGAACUAAGUCAAACUUAUCCCUAACAAACCUUUUGCUAGUAAAAUAGUGUUAUGGAUAAAAAUUGUUUUGAUUAAAUCACUUUUUCCCCACUGAACUGAACUCGAAUUUACAUUUCCAUCAUUCAAGUCAAAUUUUUUUACAGUCAACUAACUUAACUACAUUUUAUUUUUUACAAAAUUUGAAAAUUUUGUCCAAGAAUGUUAAAACUUAACUGUAUAUCCAUGUGGCACUAUGUUGAAGCUUACACAGAUUAUUCAACUAAUUAAAACACGAUGUGGCAGUGAAUGACGUGUAUUAGAAAUUUAAAAAAAUAAAUAUAUGACAUGCUUAACAUAUUAAAUAAUAAAAAUUAAUUAAAUUAUUAAAAACCAAACAAUUUACUUUAAAAAAACAAAAUGAAAGUUAAACUAAUUAAAACAAAAUAAAAACUAAAUAUAUGUUAAAAUAAAAUAAAUAAAGUAUUAGUAUAUCACUACAAAAUUAAAACAAAAUGAACAACUAAACAAUUAAACAUAUAUAUAAUUAAAAGAAGGUAAAAUAAGUAUACUAAAAAAACUAACCUAAAAAAAAAAUCAAUCACCAUGACCUCCAUCGCCCACACAUCUGUUGUAGACUAAAUCACAGAUCAAGCUUUUCUACCACCAAAAAAGUAAAUGGGAUUUAUCAGUGUUAUUAAAGGCAUGAGGCUCACCAAGGCGUAAAGGUCUCCCUGGGCCUAGGCACGAGACGUAAGGCGAGAUGUGCG
rnacentral:lncRNA from 1 species